GACGAACGCUGGCGGCGUGCCUAAUACAUGCAAGUUGAGCGCUGAAGGUUGGUACUUGUACCAACUGGAUGAGCAGCAAACGGGUGAGUAACGCGUGGGGAAUCUGCCUUUGAGCGGGGGACAACAUUUGGAAACGAAUGCUAAUACCGCAUAAAAACUUUAAACACAAGUUUUAAGUUUGAAAGAUGCAAUUGCAUCACUCAAAGAUGAUCCCGCGUUGUAUUAGCUAGUUGGUGAGGUAAAGGCUCACCAAGGCGAUGAUACAUAGCCGACCUGAGAGGGUGAUCGGCCACAUUGGGACGGAGACACGGCCCAAACUCCUACGGGAGGCAGCAGUAGGGAAUCUUCGGCAAUGGACGAAAGUCUGACCGAGCAACGCCGCGUGAGUGAAGAAGGUUUUCGGAUCGUAAAACUCUGUUGGUAGAGAAGAACGUUGGUGAGAGUGGAAAGCUCAUCAAGUGACGGUAACUACCCAGAAAGGGACGGCUAACUACGUG
rnacentral:rRNA from 1 species